rnacentral:lncRNA from 1 species
GGAGAGACCAGAGGGAAGCCGACCUGUAAUUUUGCCCGAGAGCAAUUAUGAAUAUGGCCAGCCCAUCUGUAACCAAGAUGUGUGUCCAGGGCCGUAGACACAACCAGCUUCAGAAACAAAGGGGGAAAAGGAGUAAAAAUACAGCUUUAUUGUUGUGCUCAGCUGAGAAGAAUGGUGGAGACACGGGUGCAAAUGUGAGACAGAAACUGAGAAGGUGUUGGGAAAGGCCCUUCAGAAUUCAUUCAGAAUUCAUUGCUUUUACUGUGCCAGGUGAAACUUCUGGAGUCCAGAAUUGAAGCUGCAGGAUUUUCAAAAGCCACCUCCAUUACCCACAUUCUUCACUUUCCAAAGCUUUGAGAUUGACAGUUAUUCAUGAGUUAGUAAAAAGUAUUGAGUCCCCUGGUAUUGCCAUCUCAUCUGAUCCCUGAAGAGGGAUGACAACGUCAUGUUUUCAGGAGCCUGCGGGAAACCAGUCCAUGGGAUUGUCUCAGGGGAAGGAGGUUGAUGGAAAUGCCUGGAAGGGGAGGAGCAAGAGGCAGCUGGGGAGGAAUGGAGUUGUUUGGUGGCCCCCUUCCUGGCAGCACCCAAAGAGCUUGCUAGAAGGUACACCUGGGACAGCCUCCCUGCCGCCCCCUGGCUCCUAAAGAUCCUGAUAUCCUGUUUGGCACCAGUGCUGGCCCAAGAGCAAGGAGAGUGUGUUACAGAGUGGUUUUGGAGUCUGGGUGAUGUUAGGAGAUGAGCGAGGUGCAAAUCCCUCUUGCCUAUGGGACUGACGUCCUUUCCUUUCUACGACAGCACCAUCUGCCACCAAGAUGUGUAUCCUGGGCUACUGCUGGCAGAAGAGCACCUUUGCGCAAGUGGACCAAGUCAUGCACAGAGGCUCAUAAUGGCCUCUUCCACAGCACAGGAGCAGUCCCUACCCAGACCCCCCAAAGCGGCACAGGAGGAGUUAAAGGCCUGAGCAGAGGAGCAGCCAGGUAUAUCCCUUUUUCCAGGAAGUCCUGCGAGUAAGACUGCCUCUCUCGGCACCUUGAUGCCACCCGCUGGUACGGCUCUCCAGGAAGGACAAAUACGUGCACAUGGGGGGGGGGCGUAAUUUCAGGAGGACCUACAGCAAUGAUAGAGGCAACGGUGUCUCCUUCUCCACACUUGUAAAGGCCCUGCUCAGAGCAGCUGAGCCUGCGGACAGAGACCCACCCAGGGCCUGACAGCAAUGCCUGUGGUAGAGGGGUGAAGGAGGAAGCAGCCCUACAGCCCUCCGAGAGUAAAAUGUCAGGGGAAUGAGGUAGGCUCCAGCCACAUCAGCUGAAGGAGAAGGUCAGUAGUAUGUGUGAGCCGGG